rnacentral:lncRNA from 1 species
AGCUGGAAGUCUGAAUGUGACGAGAAAUCUCCUGAUUUUGUUUGUCGGCUACUCCUACAACUGCCCCAUAACACUGUGCCCCGGAUUCUUCCCGAGGUGGGAGGACUGAGGGCAGAGGCUCCUGGCCCAGUCACCCAACCCCACUUCCGGGCUUCAGCUCUUGGGCCAGGUGGGCACACUCUGUCUUCUUUUUCUUGUGCAGGUGACAUCCCAGGUGCCAUUUCUCGAGGUUGCCAGGCUUCCCAGCCUCUGGCUCCUGCUUGUGUCUUUGUAGGGGAGGUGGCUAUGAUGGUGACAGCACAUUCGAAGCAGCAGUGGUUACAGUUUCCUUCUAUAAAUACAUUGAAGACAGAGUCAAAUGUAAGGGGGUGACUUCUGGUUCAGCACAGCGUGCAGAGCACACGCUUCUCCCUGGAUCUUGGACCACAGAGGGGACACGGCUGACCUUGCUCCUCUGGGGCAUCCCCUCCCUAGACUCACGGGAGGACCACAGAGGACACGGCUGACCCUGCUCAUCUGUGGGCAUCUCCUCUCUGGCUCAGCUGGAAGACAGACA